rnacentral:rRNA from 1 species
AUACGUAGGGUGCAAGCGUUAAUCGGAAUUACUGGGCGUAAAGCGUGCGCAGGCGGUUUUGGAAGACAGUGGUGAAAUCCCCGGGCUCAACCUGGGAACUGCCAUUGUGACUGCAAGGCUGGAGUGCGGCAGAGGGGGAUGGAAUUCCGCGUGUAGCAGUGAAAUGCGUAGAUAUGCGGAGGAACACCGAUGGCGAAGGCAAUCCCCUGGGCCUGCACUGACGCUCAUGCACGAAAGCGUGGGGAGCAAACAGGAUUAGAUACCCUGGUAGGCCACGCCCUAAACGAUGUCAACUGGUUGUUGGGUCUUCAUUGACUCAGUAACGAAGCUAACGCGUGAAGUUGACCGCCUGGGGAGUACGGCCGCAAGGUUGAAACUCAAAUGAAUUGACGGGG